UCUUUAUAAUAAAUUUAUUUUAAUGAAUUAUUUUAUUUAAAUUAAUAGUUUUAAUAAUAAAUUAUUUUAUUGGGGUGAUACAAAAAUUUAAUUAACUUUUUUAUUUAUAUUACUUAAAUUAAAGAUUUAUAAAAAUUUGAUCUACUAUUAGUAAUUCAGAGAAUAAGA
rnacentral:rRNA from 1 species